UACGAAGGGGGCUAGCGUUGCUCGGAAUCACUGGGCGUAAAGGGUGCGUAGGUGGGUCUUUAAGUCAGGGGUGAAAUCCUGGAGCUCAACUCCAGAACUGCCUUUGAUACUGAAGAUCUUGAGUUCGGGAGAGGUGAGUGGAACUGCGAGUGUAGAGGUGAAAUUCGUAGAUAUUCGCAAGAACACCAGUGGCGAAGGCGGCUCACUGGCCCGAUACUGACGCUGAGGCACGAAAGCGUGGGGAGCAAACAGG
rnacentral:rRNA from 1 species